rnacentral:snRNA from 1 species
AUCGUUUCUCGGCCUUUUGGCUAAGCUUGAGUGCAGUAUCUGUUCUCAUCAGCGUAAAAACUCACUUCAGGGGGUGCCUGGAUGGCUCAAUCAGUUAAGUGGCUGACUUGGGCUCAGAUCAUGAUCUCACAGUUUGUGAGUCCGAGCCCUGCAUGGGGCUCUGUGGUGACAAUUCAGA